AUUCCAUCCUGCCUGAGGCUGGGGCCUGAGGGUGCUGUGUCCAGAGAACAGAGAACAAGCGUUGAACUUUGCUCAUCAUUCACAGAAGAUGGCACUUCCAGGAGAUAUGCUUUACAACAUGGGUGGAUUCCCUGUCCAGGAAGGAAACCAGGCAGGGCCUUCGUUGCAGGCAAGACCUUGUUCUCUGACCCACCAGCCAGACGUUUCUGACCCUGGGAAUGGAAUCUUUUUUAGGGCCAACACAGAGGACAACAAUUAUUCUGGCCCAAUAAUAUCCUGGACUAUAAACUCCUUAGGAAGUGGGCUCACUUUUCACAUGGGCAGACAGCUAUUCACUAACAAAGGGGCACAGGAAGAAGGAAGGAGGUCAGAGAAGGUAACAUUUCCCGAGUGCCCACGCAAGGCCUGGAACUACACAUGCUUCGCUUCCUUUAGUGAUCAACCAUCUGAAGAAUACAGUGAGACUGACGUGGAGAAAAAGAAAUAAGCAUUUUUGGUACUGGUCUGAAGAUGAGGAAACUGUGGCCUGAAUAACAAGUCCUCUUUUUUGGAUGCAAAGUAGAAAGCAUAGAGUUGGCUUCACAAAAAAUCAAAGUUAAUAUUUACAGCAUGCUUACUGUGCAUGUCAGUAUUAUAAAGAUUUCAUACAUAUUAAAAUUUAUGUUAAUCUCUGUAGUGGAUUGAAUUAUGUCCCCCCCCACACACUCACUGAAGUUUGAAUUGUGUCCCCCAAGUUUUAUGUAUUAGAAACUUAGCCCCUACUGUGACUGUUAAGAGGGUGGAAAAUCCUAUUAUGGUAAUUGAAAGGCUGGAUUGUAGGAUCGUGCAGUGGUGAAUGGAUUAAAAAUGGUGGUCAGGGGCAUGGUUCUAAGGGCUUUACAAGAAGAGGAGAGUCUGUCUGUCUCUCUCUGCUUUCUCUGCUUCCACCAUCUUGCAAUGUGAGACCCCUGGGUCACUGUCGCCUCCACCAGAUGGACUUUGGACUUC